rnacentral:rRNA from 1 species
ACUCCUACGGGAGGCAGCAGUGGGAAUCUUGGACAAUGGGGCAACCGUGAUCUAGCCAUGCCGCGUGAGCGAUGAAGGCCUUAGGGUUGUAAAGCUCUUUCAGCUGGGAAGAUAAUGACGGUACCAGCAGAAGAAGCCCCGCUACUCCGUGCCAGCAGCCGCGGUAAUACGGAGGGGCGUAGCGUUGUUCGGAAUUACUGGGCGUAAAGCGCACGUAGGCGGAUU